AUCUGAUUGUUAGUGGGUCUCGUGCUCCCACUCCUGUAACCCCUGCAAGCCUAACAUCAGGUCAGACUGUUGGGAAGCAGAGUAACCCUGGUAGUACCAUCUCUACUUCCCAAACAUCUAUGAAACCAACAUCAGAAACAGAUACUGGUAUGACUCCUAUGAACCCAGAAUCUGGCGAUGAAACAACAGGU